rnacentral:rRNA from 1 species
UCUGUAGCAAGGUUAACCGAAUAGGGGAGCCGGAGGGAAACCGAGUCUUAACCGGGCGUUAAGUUGCAGGGUAUAGACCCGAAACCCGGUGAUCUAGCCAUGGGCAGGUUGAAGGUUGGGUAACACUAACUGGAGGACCGAACCGACUAAUGUUGAAAAAUUAGCGGAUGACCUGUGGCUGGGGGUGAAAGGCCAAUCAAACCGGGAGAUAGCUGGUUCUCCCCGAAAGCUAUUUAGGUAGCGCCUCGUGAAUUCAUCUCCGGGGGUAGAGCACUGUUUCGGCUAGGGGGCCAUCCCGGCUUACCAACCCGAUGCAAACUGCGAAUACCGGAGAAUGUUAUCACGGGAGACACACGGCGGGUGCUAACGUCCGUCGUGAAGAGGGAAACAACCCAGACCGCCAGCUAAGGUCCCAAAGUCAUGGUUAAGUGGGAAACGAUGUGGGAAGGCCCAGACAGCCAGGAUGUUGGCUUAGAAGCAGCCAUCAUUUAAAGAAAGCGUAAUAGCUCACUGGUCGAGUCGGCCUGCGCGGAAGAUGUAACGGGGCUAAACCAUGCACCGAAGCUGCGGCAGCGACGCUGAUGCGUUGUUGGGUAGGGGAGCGUUCUGUAAGCCUGCGAAGGUGUGUCGUGAGGCAUGCUGGAGGUAUCAGAAGUGCGAAUGCUGACAUAAGUAACGAUAAAGCGGGUGAAAAGCCCGCUCGCCGGAAGACCAAGGGUUCCUGUCCAACGUUAAUCGGGGCAGGGUGAGUCGACCCCUAAGGCGAGGCCGAAAGGCGUAGUCGAUGGGAAACGGGUUAAUAUUCCCGUACUUGGUGUUACUGCGAAGGGGGGACGGAGAAGGCUAUGUUGGCCGGGCGACGGUUGUCCCGGUUUAAGCGUGUAGGUGUGUGUUCCAGGUAAAUCCGGUUCACUUUAACACUGAGGCGUGAUGACGAGGCACUACGGUGCUGAAGCAACAAAUGCCCUGCUUCCAGGAAAAGCCUCUAAGCAUCAGGUAACAUCAAAUCGUACCCCAAACCGACACAGGUGGUCAGGUAGAGAAUACCAAGGCGCUUGAGAGAACUCGGGUGAAGGAACUAGGCAAAAUGGUGCCGUAACUUCGGGAGAAGGCACGCUGACACGUAGGUGAAGUGAUUUACUCAUGGAGCUGAAGUCAGUCGAAGAUACCAGCUGGCUGCAACUGUUUAUUAAAAACACAGCACUGUGCAAACACGAAAGUGGACGUAUACGGUGUGACGCCUGCCCGGUGCCGGAAGGUUAAUUGAUGGGGUCAGCGCAAGCGAAGCUCCUGAUCGAAGCCCCGGUAAACGGCGGCCGUAACUAUAACGGUCCUAAGGUAGCGAAAUUCCUUGUCGGGUAAGUUCCGACCUGCACGAAUGGCGUAAUGAUGGCCAGGCUGUCUCCACCCGAGACUCAGUGAAAUUGAACUCGCUGUGAAGAUGCAGUGUACCCGCGGCAAGACGGAAAGACCCCGUGAACCUUUACUAUAGCUUGACACUGAACAUUGAGCCUUGAUGUGUAGGAUAGGUGGGAGGCUUUGAAGUGUGGACGCCAGUCUGCAUGGAGCCGGCCUUGAAAUACCACCCUUUAAUGUUUGAUGUUCUAACGUGGACCCGUGAUCCGGGUUGCGGACAGUGUCUGGUGGGUAGUUUGACUGGGGCGGUCUCCUCCUAAAGAGUAACGGAGGAGCACGAAGGUUGGCUAAUCCUGGUCGGACAUCAGGAGGUUAGUGCAAUGGCAUAAGCCAGCUUGACUGCGAGCGUGACGGCGCGAGCAGGUGCGAAAGCAGGUCAUAGUGAUCCGGUGGUUCUGAAUGGAAGGGCCAUCGCUCAACGGAUAAAAGGUACUCCGGGGAUAACAGGCUGAUACCGCCCAAGAGUUCAUAUCGACGGCGGUGUUUGGCACCUCGAUGUCGGCUCAUCACAUCCUGGGGCUGAAGUAGGUCCCAAGGGUAUGGCUGUUCGCCAUUUAAAGUGGUACGCGAGCUGGGUUUAGAACGUCGUGAGACAGUUCGGUCCCUAUCUGCCGUGGGCGCUGGAGAACUGAGGGGGGCUGCUCCUAGUACGAGAGGACCGGAGUGGACGCAUCACUGGUGUUCGGGUUGUCAUGCCAAUGGCACUGCCCGGUAGCUAAAUGCGGAAGAGAUAAGUGCUGAAAGCAUCUAAGCACGAAACUUGCCCCGAGAUGAGUUCUCCCUGAGACUUAGAGUCUCCUGAAGGAACGUUGAAGACGACGACGUUGAUAGGCCGGGUGUGUAAGCGCAGCGAUGCGUUGAGCUAACCGGUACUAAUGAACCGUGAGGCUUAACCUUACAACGCCGAA